UACGUAGGGUGCGAGCGUUGUCCGGAAUUACUGGGCGUAAAGAGCUCGUAGGUGGUUUGUCGCGUUGUUCGUGAAAACUCACAGCUUAACUGUGGGCGUGCGGGCGAUACGGGCAGACUGGAGUACUGCAGGGGAGACUGGAAUUCCUGGUGUAGCGGUGGAAUGCGCAGAUACCAGGAGGAACACCGGUGGCGAAGGCGGGUCUCUGGGCAGUAACUGACGCUGAGGAGCGAAAGCGUGGGGAGCAAACAGG
rnacentral:rRNA from 1 species